AGUCGAACGGAAAGGCCCUGCUUGCAUGGUACUCGAGUGGCGAACGGGUGAGUAACACGUGGGUGAUCUGCCCUGCACUUCGGGAUAAGCCUGGGAAACUGGGUCUAAUACCGGAUAGGAGCCAUUUUUAGUGUGAUGGUUGGAAAGUUUUUCGGUGUAGGAUGAGCUCGCGGCCUAUCAGCUUGUUGGUGGGGUAAUGGCCUACCAAGGCGGCGACGGGUAGCCGGCCUGAGAGGGUGGACGGCCACAUUGGGACUGAGAUACGGCCCAGACUCCUACGGGAGGCAGCAGUGGGGAAUAUUGCACAAUGGGCGCAAGCCUGAUGCAGCGACGCCGCGUGGGGGAUGACGGCCUUCGGGUUGUAAACUCCUUUCGCUAGGGACGAAGCUUUUUGUGACGGUACCUAGAUAAGAAGCACCGGCUAACUACGUGCCAGCAGCCGCGGUAAUACGUAGGGUGCGAGCGUUGUCCGGAAUUACUGGGCGUAAAGGGCUCGUAGGUGGUUUGUCGCGUCGUCUGUGAAAUUCCGGGGCUUAACUCCGGGCGUGCAGGCGAUACGGGCAUAACUUGAGUACUGUAGGGGUAACUGGAAUUCCUGGUGUAGCGGUGAAAUGCGCAGAUAUCAGGAGGAACACCGAUGGCGAAGGCAGGUUACUGGGCAGUUACUGACGCUGAGGAGCGAAAGCAUGGGUAGCGAACAGGAUUA
rnacentral:rRNA from 1 species